CGAGGACCCCUGCUCAUCCGACUGGAAUAGUCUAGGUGCACCCGCUGGAAACAGCCACUCGUGGCGGCGUUGGUACACCGAAUAUCCCUGCACAAACCUCAACGGCACAACGGCAUUAUCAG